rnacentral:pre_miRNA from 1 species
AUGUAUUCUCAGCUUUGAGAACUGAAUUCCAUGGGUUGUAAUUGAAUCUCUGUCAGACCCAUGGGGCUCAGUUCUUCAGCUUGGAUAUCUGUG